UACGGGGGGGGCAAGCGUUGUUCGGAAUUACUGGGCGUAAAGGGUGCGUAGGCGGGUUUUUAAGUCAGGGGUGAAAUCCUGGAGCUCAACUCCAGAACUGCCUUUGAUACUGAAGAUCUUGAGUUCGGGAGAGGUGAGUGGAACUGCGAGUGUAGAGGUGAAAUUCGUAGAUAUUCGCAAGAACACCAGUGGCGAAGGCGGCUCACUGGCCCGAUACUGACGCUGAGGCACGAAAGCGUGGGGAGCAAACAGG
rnacentral:rRNA from 1 species